rnacentral:rRNA from 1 species
AGUGGACAUCGGCCGUAGGAGGAGAGGAGGCUAUUAUGUUAUGGUACCGGGGGCGGCACUACCGAAGCAGCCGAUGGUGGCAGCGUGGGAAGGUCCCCGAGUUCAGGUGUCGGCCAGACGGGCAGUCGGCGGCGAGGUCGCCGUCGGAGCCGGCGCAGUCGUUACCGCCUUCCUAGUCCACGUACGUCCACACCGGCUAACUCCCAUAGUUCUUCAAGCUCUGGGACAGAAUGAACGGUGGGGAGAGGUGUCUCCGGGAGGAUUUCGUCCAUCUGAUGGACUAGGCGAGGUUCACCCACGGGACGGAGCUCAAAUCGUUCCAACCGAAGCAGAAGGCACUCGUGUUGUCGAGAGGGCCCAUGAUGCUGCCAGCUAUGACCUGUUACACCUUCGACGGAUACAAGCCCACGUGGCUGCGGUGCGUUCACGAGUUGCUCCACCUCCUCCAGUUCUUCCUCAUGGGACUACGGAUACAGGCACAGUAGCCGAAGCUGUUGGACGCGGUCCACGUCACGCAGUCGAAGUAGCGGAAGUCCGGUGGUCCAACGCUCCUCAGGCCGUUCCGGAUUUGAUGUUCAACUUUGUUACCGGAUACAUACUACCAGUAAACACUUGAAGUGAAAACAGGUGCUGAGACGAAAGGCUGGUCUCGUAUAAAGAGCAAGGUAUACUAGACACAAACAUGCUUGUAUCCAACACCUCGUACGUGCCGAUGUGUAUAUGUUGUGGUCACACUAUAAAUAAUAUAUGUUGUUCGCCUGGUAACAGGACGACAAUUAAGAGCCUUUUGAAAGAAAUAAACCGUGACGCUACCUAUACAGAGUGUGGAUCAACCACCUUCUUAAGUCAUAAACUGUAAUUCUAAAGGAAUAACCGUUAAUUUUUAACAAUCUUGAUUAGAACCGUAUACAUAGACGUACACAAAAAAACAAAACGAACAUCGAUCACAUCAGUAUAGCAGCCGACAUGUGGCCGUUCUACAUGCACACUAUGCAUGCAUCUGUCGCUCGGCAGCCGGGUUCUUGCACGUACCACUCUACGAUAACAGCACGCUCCGCCGCCUCCACGCUCUACGGCUCACGGCACACUUCGUCGACGUGUUCCUAUUCUCGGUCGCCGGUCGUUCUCAGGUCGGCUCAGCUAGUCAUUCAGACAACACCGGAACUCUUCUCCAGAUCAUAAUCUACACCAGUUCAAACAAUCGACGUACAGGUCUAGCACAUCGACAACUCUCCUGCAACGCGUACAUGACCUGCACCCGCACGUACAUCUGUACAUCAAUCCCUAAUCAACCAAUCACCGGCCUGAAUCACCGGACACACGUACCGUACUCAGACCAGGAAACAUAUAUUUAUACCGUUGUCCCAUUACUUUUCCUAACUCCGGCACUCCCGACCCCGUCUUUGUUACAUCACAAACAAAAGUGGUUCCUCUCUCGGAGAACCG